GAAAUGCGAUAAGUAGUGUGAAUUGCAGAAUUCAGUGAAUCAUCGAAUCUUUGAACGCACAUUGCGCCCUUCGGUAUUCCGUUGGGCAUGCCUGUUCGAGCGUCAUUUAAACACUCAAGCUCUGCUUGGCGUUGGGCGUCUGUUCCGCCUCUGUGCGGGACUCGCCUCAAAUCUAUUGGCAGCCGGUCAGUUGGCUUCCGCCGCAGCACAUUGCGUCGCGACUCCAGCCUGUCCGCCUCCCCAUCAAGUCCUCUAAAGAUUGACCUCGGAUCAGGUAGGGAUACCCGCUGAACUUAA
rnacentral:misc_RNA from 1 species